rnacentral:antisense_RNA from 1 species
GGCUGUCGGGACUUUUAUCACCUCGACGAGAUCCAUGUUUCUUGAUUUGGCAAACUCCUUCAUGUAAAGCUCGUUCUGAAACA